rnacentral:rRNA from 1 species
AUUGAACGCUGGCGGCAGGCUUAACACAUGCAAGUCGAGCGGGGAGAUGUAGCUUGCUACAUAUCCUAGCGGCGGACGGGUGAGUAAUGCUUAGGAAUCUGCCUAUUAGUGGGGGACAACAUUCCGAAAGGAAUGCUAAUACCGCAUACGCCCUACGGGGGAAAGCAGGGGAUCUUCGGACCUUGCGUCACUAGAUGAGCCUAAGUCGGAUUAGCUAGUUGGUGGGGUAAAGGCCUACCAAGGCGACUAUCUGUAGCGGGUCUGGGAGGAUGAUCCGCCACACUGGGACUGAGACACGGCCCAGACUCCUACGGGAGGCAGCAGUGGGGAAUAUCGGACAAUGGGCGCAAGCCUGAUCCAGCCAUGCCGCGUGUGUGAAGAAGGCCUUUUGGUUGUAAAGCACUUUAAGCGAGGAGGAGGCUCCUUUAGUUAAUACCUAAAGAGAGUGGACGUUACUCGCAGAAUAAGCACCGGCUAACUCUGUGUCAGCCGCCGCCGUAAAAC